AAUCUCAUGGGAUCUUGCUAAAAAUGCAGAUUCUGAUUCAGUGGGUGUGGGCAGAAUCCAAGGAUCUGCAUUUCAAACAGGUUUUCUGCUAGUGCCGAU
rnacentral:miRNA from 1 species